rnacentral:miRNA from 1 species
ACCCUCCCUCCCAGACCCUCCCACCUCCUGGACAGCAUCAACAUGGAUGCUGUCCAGGAGAUGGGAGGGUCUGGGAGGGAGGGU